UACGAAGGGGGCUAGCGUUGCUCGGAAUCACUGGGCGUAAAGCGCACGUAGGCGGAUUGCUAAGUCAGGGGUGAAAUCCUGGAGCUCAACUCCAGAACUGCCUUUGAUACUGGCGGUCUCGAGUCCGGGAGAGGUGAGUGGAACUGCGAGUGUAGAGGUGAAAUUCGUAGAUAUUCACAAGAACACCAGUGGCGAAGGCGGCUCACUGGCCCGAUACUGACGCUGAGGCACGAAAGCGUGGGGAGCAAACAGG
rnacentral:rRNA from 1 species